UGAAGUUGUUCUCUCCUAUCGUUUAGUUCACUAUUGAGUUUUAACAAUUCCUUGUUUUGGUUGAUAUUUGGUUACUGCUUUAUUGUGGUGCUACCCUCUUUCUAUUGUAUUCACAGUUAAAUAUGUGUUUCAGUUUUCCAUCACCCUAUUUCAGUCUAGGCUAUUAUAUUAAGCAUUGUGUUUUCUGGUUUGUAAUUUCUCUUGGCUGAUUAUUUCUCACAUGUUGUGGUUCGGACCUCGUUUUGUUGGGAUUAAGGUCGUCUGGUCUCGAUUACUAAAAAAAUCAUCUUGAGCUUGUUAAGAAGGGAUAAGAAUGUUAAUGUUAUGAAUUGUUGAAUUUCCUUCACAAUAUUUGACAAUUGUUUCUCUUUCUGUAAACUUCUUCUUCCCGGUGUGCAUAUGUUUGAAAUGUCGAGCAUGAACGAUUAGUUUUUUUUAAGUUAAACAAAUGUCAAUUUUAACGUCCUUUUAAACUAGAAGUGUGAAGGUGUCAUUUCUCUUCUUGGAAUCCCCUUUUGUUGAUUUAUCUUGACAAAUUGUUUCGCAUAAUAGGGCUGCCCAGUUGAACAGUUUGGGCAAGUAGUUUUCGGCUACAUAUUUAGUAUUAAUCUCAUUCAUUUUUUCUAGUUUGAAUGGUAAUUGAUUGCAUGCUUCGAAUGCUUGUUGUUGAUUGCUUCGUUUCUUAGAUAAAUCAUGAGAUCAAAUUGUAUAUUUGCUUAACGGGUUGUUAAUGUAGAUAAUUUGAGUUUGUUCAAAAACAAAAGAGAAGCCUCUAGUGGAUUACUUCAAUAACUUUAAUCAGUAUUUUAGUAUGUUUGUCUUUAAAUUUUCAAGACUUUGGACGAACACGGGAGCUUUGGAUUACAAUUAUAUCACUUGUCUAGGUUUUGUCCAAAAAACUUUAAAAAAUUUUUGCAUUUGCAUGUCUAUUGUCUUAUUAA
rnacentral:lncRNA from 1 species